AUUGAACGCUGGCGGCAGGCCUAACACAUGCAAGUCGAACGGUAGCACAGAGAGCUUGCUCUCGGGUGACGAGUGGCGGACGGGUGAGUAACGUCUGGGAAACUGCCCGAUGGAGGGGGAUAACUACUGGAAACGAUAGCUAAUACCGCAUAACGUCGCAAGACCAAAGUGGGGGACCUUCGGGCCUCACACCAUCGGAUGUGCCCAGAUGGGAUUAGCUAGUAGGGGGGGUAAUGGCUCACCUAGGCGACGAUCCCUAGCUGGUCUGAGAGGAUGACCAGCCACACUGGAACUGAGACACGGUCCAGACUCCUACGGGAGGCAGCAGUGGGGAAUAUUGCACAAUGGGCGCAAGCCUGAUGCAGCCAUGCCGCGUGUAUGAAGAAGGCCUUCGGGUUGUAAAGUACUUUCAGCGGGGAGGAAGGCGGUGAAGUUAAUAACUUCACCGAUUGACGUUACCCGCAGAAGAAGCACCGGCUAACUCCGUGCCAGCAGCCGCCGUAA
rnacentral:rRNA from 1 species